rnacentral:rRNA from 1 species
CCUACGGGUGGCAGCAGUGAGGAAUAUUGGUCAAUGGCCGUAAGGCUGAACCAGCCAAGUAGCGUGAGGGAAGACUGCCCUAUGGGUUGUAAACUGCUUUUGUACAAGGGUAAACCUGAAUACGUGUAUUCGGCUGAAAGUACUGUACGAAUAAGGAUCGGCUAACUCCGUGCCAGCAGCCGCGGUAAUACGGAGGAUCCAAGCGUUAUCCGGAUUUAUUGGGUUUAAAGGGUGCGUAGGUGGAUUGAUAAGUUAGAGGUGAAAUGUCCGAGCUUAACUCGGGAACUGCCUCUAAUACUGUUGAUCUAGAGAGUAGAUGCGGUAGGCGGAAUGUAUGGUGUAGCGGUGAAAUGCUUAGAGAUCAUACAGAACACCGAUUGCGAAGGCAGCUUACCAAUCUAUAUCUGACGUUGAGGCACGAAAGCGUGGGGAGCAAACAGGAUUAGAUACCCCAGUAGUC